AUUGAACGCUGGCGGCAGGCCUAACACAUGCAAGUCGAGCGGAUGAAGGGAGCUUGCUCCUGGAUUCAGCGGCGGACGGGUGAGUAAUGCCUAGGAAUCUGCCUGGUAUUGGGGGAUAACGUCCGGAAACGGGCGCUAAUACCGCAUACGUCCUGAUGUAGAACGUGGGGGAUCUUCGGACCUCACGCUAUCAGAUGAGCCUAGGUCGGAUUAGCUAGUUGGUGGGGUAAAGGCCUACCAAGGCGACGAUCCGUAACUGGUCUGAGAGGAUGAUCAGUCACACUGGAACUGAGACACGGUCCAGACUCCUACGGGAGGCAGCAGUGGGGAAUAUUGGACAAUGGGCGAAAGCCUGAUCCAGCCAUGCCGCGUGUGUGAAGAAGGUCUUCGGAUUGUAAAGCACUUUAAGUUGGGAGGAAGGGCAGUAAGUUAAUACCUUGCUGUUUUGACGGUACCAACAGAAUAAGCACCGGCUAACUUCGUG
rnacentral:rRNA from 1 species